rnacentral:rRNA from 1 species
UACGUAGGUGGCAAGCGUUGUCCGGAAUUAUUGGGCGUAAAGCGUGCGCAGGCGGCUAUGCAAGACAGAUGUGAAAUCCCCGGGCUCAACCUGGGAACUGCAUUUGUGACUGCAUGGCUAGAGUACGGUAGAGGGGGAUGGAAUUCCGCGUGUAGCAGUGAAAUGCGUAGAUAUGCGGAGGAACACCGAUGGCGAAGGCAAUCCCCUGGACCUGUACUGACGCUCAUGCACGAAAGCGUGGGGAGCAAACAGG